rnacentral:rRNA from 1 species
CCUACGGGAGGCUGCAGUCGAGAAUCAUUCACAAUGGGGGAAACCCUGAUGGUGCGACGCCGCGUGGGGGAAUGAAGGUCUUCGGAUUGUAAACCCCUGUCAUGUGGGAGCAAAUUAAAAAGAUAGUACCACAAGAGGAAGAGCCGGCUAACUCUGUGCCAGCAGCCGCGGUAAUACAGAGGUCUCAAGCGUUGUUCGGAAUCACUGGGCGUAAAGCGUGCGUAGGCUGUUUCGUAAGUCGUGUGUGAAAGGCGCGGGCUCAACCCGCGGACGGCACAUGAUACUGGGAGACUAGAGUAAGGGAGGGGGAACCGGAAUUCGCGGUGGAGCAGUGAAAUGCGUAGAUAUCGAGAGGAACACUCGUGGCGAAGGCGGGUUCCUGGACAUUAACUGACGCUGAGGCACGAAGGCCAGGGGAGCGAAAGGGAUUAGAUACCCUUGUAGUC